ACCUAUUCUAACAAGGCCACACCCACUCAAACAAGGUCACACCUCCUAAUAGCGCCACUCCCUGGGCCAAGCAUAUUCAAACCAUCACAAUGCCCCAGGAUAGUUGAGCUAAGAGAACCCAACUGUGUUCAUCUGUCUAUAUCAGCAGAAAACCCCCAACGAUGGUCACUUCAGAUUUCCAAGUCCAUCCAGCCAUGCUCUCUCCCUUUCACUGGGAUGUUGGUGUCACCAAAUCACUCAGACGACAUGGAGCCCAGGUCUGAGAUCUGCUUUGCUGGAGCUUUGCUGGGUGAUGGUCACGGGUGGCUGCUCUCACGCCCUCCCCAUGACACCCCAGGAGCCUUUUCUGAGUGAGCCACUCACUUCUUCCUCCCAUGUCUUCUGAGUCAUGCAGCUCUGGUAAGGGCUGCAUGGGACGCCAGCACCAACAUCCACCAGGAGCUUUGGUGGGAGCAAAUCAUUUUCAAACCAGCAGGAAGUUCAAGGGAGUAAUAGCUACUUGCGUGUUUCACUCUAUCGUUUUGGCAUUGCUUGGAUGCUUAAUAGGUAUUACGUGUGGAUUAUUUGGUACUUAAGUAGUUUUACUUCAAACUAAGAAGGAAAACUCAUAUGUUAAAACCAUCACAUCUUCUCUAGGUCAGUGGAAGACCCUGCAAUAAUUCCACAGGUUUCUCUUUUCACCCGCAAGCACGGGCCACACCUCUAAAUAGAACAAGUCAAGAAAUGGUAAGCUCACAAAAAGUACCAAGUGGGCAUAAAUAGCAAGGGACAUAUUUGAAAAGCCACAGUGACGAGGGACAACUUGCAAAUAUUUAAAAGUGACAGAAGUAUGAAUCAAGAAUAGCAGGAGUUAUUUUUCCUUCUUUUCUUGUUUUUAAAAUGCCAGAGGAGGCUUAGGAUAUAGACAGUCAGUCAAGACUGUCACUCCUAACCUAGCAACGACGCCACACUCUGUCAGCUCCCAGCUCAUCAUUUUCUUGAGCCACAGAGACUCCACGGAUUCAAAACAGUGUGUCUCAAGUCCCCUGAAAGAGAGGCAAGUGGUUCACUGGGACUGCACCACCUUCAGCUGACAGGGGUAGAGGGACUGUCAUAAAGACUGGGUUAGCAUGGCAACUGUUAGCCAUCCUCAAAGUCUAGGUAUGUUCCCUGGGACUGGGCAUCAUCACACACAAAUUCUUUCCAUAGUCCACUUGCUGCUCACCAGAAAUAAGGAACAUGCCAGCAUUGUGUUACCAUUUUCUCUGAGUUGCUGAAUUCCAUCCCACAGCAAAGCUCCUUAAGACUCAGGAAAUCAACAAUUUACAAGUCUCAGGAAGUCCCUGAAGCUGACCAGAUACACUAGACUCCCCCCACCCCAUCCCCGGUCAUAUAAGCAGUAAGGGCUGGUGAGAAGAGGAGAGUCCCUGGCCUGCUGAGCUGUCUGAGAGUUGUGCAGAGAGCUCCAGGGUUCCAGCUUUCAUGAUCUAUCAGCUGGGCUGUGCUGGGCUUUGAUGAUAUAUCUCUCUUUAGGUGGUCCUUGCUCCUGUAAGUGACCUUUCACCCACAAUCCCAUCAGUAACCCCAAUAAGUCAG
rnacentral:lncRNA from 1 species